UUGAGCCUUGAUGUGUAGGAUAGGUGGGAGGCUUUGAAGUGUGGACGCCAGUCUGCAUGGAGCCAACCUUGAAAUACCACCCUUUAACGUUUGAUGUUCUAACCUAGGCCCAUAAACUGGGUCGGGGACCGUGUCUGGUGGGUAGUUUGACUGGGGCGGUCUCCUCCUAAAGAGUAACGGAGGAGCACGAAGGUUGGCUAAGCAUGGUCGGACAUCAUGCGGUUAGUGCAAAGGCAUAAGCCAGCUUGACUGCGAGAGUGACGGCUCGAGCAGGUACGAAAGUAGGUCUUAGUGAUCCGGUGGUUCUGAAUGGAAGGGCCAUCGCUCAACGGAUAAAAGGUACUCCGGGGAUAACAGGCUGAUACCGCCCAAGAGUUCAUAUCGACGGCGGUGUUUGGCACCUCGAUGUCGGCUCAUCACAUCCUGGGGCUGAAGUAGGUCCCAAGGGUAUGGCUGUUCGCCAUUUAAAGUGGUACGCGAGCUGGGUUUAGAACGUCGUGAGACAGUUCGGUCCCUAUCUGCCGUGGGCG
rnacentral:rRNA from 2 species